UGUCAGGAGAUGGUGUAGAGGUUUGGUAAGUAAUACAGUUUGAUUUUGUAUGUCUCAAGGGUUACUCAUUCAGUCACAUAUUUGAGUUUAUUUUAUUCUGGCCUUUUUCCCCUCUGGGGAUUCUAUUUAUAGUAUUAAUUGAAAAUCUUUAUGUUAAUGCUAAUUUUGAUUUUUUUUUCCACUAGCAUGUAUUGGAGCACUCAGGCUUGAAGAAGGACAUAGGUAAAAAGUAUAAAAUGGAACAUUUUCUAACAUUAGGGUUGUGAAAAUUUUCUUAUUGUUUAGUUGCAUACUUGGCAUGUUCAAUCUGAAAAAAAAUUGUUUAUGAAACAAUUUAAAUGAUAUUGUUUAAGCCAAAACAGUUACUUAUAUUUCAUUUCUCUUUUAUUUUUAUAAAUAGAGCAUCAAUUCCCUUAAUCACAAAGGUCAAGAAAGGUUAUCUCAUGUUACAUUAGGACAUACUUAGGACUUCGUAGUAUUUCCCUUCUGUGUGAAAUUUUAUCCAGAAGACUUGAAUUACUUAAUCGUAAAGUGAAUAGCAAACGUGAAUCUAAAACAUGGUUUCAGUUUUUCAGAAUCAGGCCUGCUUUGUCCCUAAAUGCUUUCUUAUUUCCCCAGAGCCCUUAUUGGAUUUAAGCCCCAUAUCAUAUCUCACAUACCUGAGACAGACAUACCACAGUGAACCCUGCAUGUCCUUGUAAGUUCUUUUCCGUGCCUAGAAGUUGCAGAAGACCAAGGAACCUUGGAAGUGACUUACUCUUUUGCUUCAUAAAGUUGCUUUAAAACAGCCUUUAUUUUAAUUAUUAACAAGGUAUGUCACACAUUUUUAAAUUUUAAGGUUAAUUUAGUCAUUAAUUCUGUCAAACAAGUGUUCUUUGGAAACUAGUUGUCUUCAAUGUCUUUUACUUGGAGUUACUUGAAGUUUGCUUAAACUUUAUUCACUUGGAGUAGAACUUCCUAGUUAAAUGAUUGAAAAGGACUAGUUCUGCAAAAUCUAUGAGAACAAGAGCUUCUGCAAAUGCAUAAUAUAAAUUCUCUUCCUUUUUUUUUUAAACUGUAUUUUUACAAACCUAGAUCUCUUCCUGCUUUGAUUUGUCUUUAUCAUAUCUUUCAGAACAAACCUUUGAUGGAAUUCUAGGAAAGGUUGAGAUUAAGAAUAUAUUAAAAAUAUUCCACUUUGUACAUUCUGUUUAUAUUAUAGUAAACUAAGUUAUUUAGCAAGAUAAAAUUAGGAAUUUCACCCAAGGUAUCAAUCAGAUGGAACCAUUAGUCCACUGAAGAAUUUACUUUUUAAAAAAGUUAGUGGAGGAAAGGAGAAGAUGCUGCUUAAGAGUAAUCAGAAAUAAAGAUGCUGCUAAGAUAGAUAAUGGUUAUUGCAAAAUGCACGUUUUUAAAUGGUCUCCAGUGUGGAUUGCUUCUGAGCUGCUGAUGGAUUGAAUACAUUGAGAAGGAAUGUGUCAUUUGGAAUCCAGGACCAGUCAGCAAGGAUAACUGCCUGAUUUUAUGAUUUCGUGACUGAUGCUGAAAUGGAAGCCAACCACUGCAGAAAUUUGGGGGAAAAUGAGAUCUGAAGAAUACAAGGGGAAGUAGGAAUUCAUUUCUAGCAUUUCCAAACCUGCUUAAUCGUGUCUGCUCCACCACAGUCAGAGGAAAAGACUGAGUUCAUGGAAAUUACCAGCUAAGCCUUACAUCUGUCUUUAAUGUUUUUAGGAAGUAUACUGAAAAGGUAAGUGAGAUGUCUGUUUUGAAGAAAGACUCUUACUGGGUACCUUAAAACCCGUUGUUUCCUAUUAGUAAAGAUGGGCAGCUUCUUUAUUCCUAGCUUCAAAAAGCCUUGCCCCUGUUUGGUGUGUUUCUCAGUAUUGUGGAGAAGGUAGUUUCUGAGCAAGGUGGUGCUUUUCCUCUGCUUCUCAGCAGCUAAGACAGAAAUUGCACCGAAGUGUACAAAGGGCCAAUUUUUGUUGUCCUGUUGUGCUCAAAUCCUUUUUUUUAAAAAAGUUAUUUCAAUCAAGUCUUAGUUUUAUUCCUCACUAUAUAGGAAAAAAAUCUUUAAUGCCUCAAAAGUUCCAUUCAGCAUUACAUUUGCAUUACUCUUAUUUGCAGCAAAUAUGAGUAAAAUUAUAGGUUUUUAAAGGUCUCUAAUAACAUCCACUUAUAUUGGUUUUGUAGAUAAUCCAUAAAUUACCAGAAAUAAAUUAUUCCACAUUUAUUACACACCCAUGUAAUAGAUGUCGUGCCAGGCCCUGGAAUAUACUAAUGGCAUCACCUCAUGUGGUAAAAAGACACAUUCCGCCAUCCUGGAGUAUACAAAGGUAGACUAGCAUAUAGUUCAUGUGCUCAAGGAGUUCAUUUUUAUUGACAUGAUACAGAUAGAAUUGUAGUUUAGGGAAUCAAAAUCUAAUAAAAUGAGGCUAAUUCCAUUUUCCCAUUAACACUAAUAACUAGUGUGUAAAUCUGAAUAUGACACAUUCUAUAUGAAAGAAGCUCUGUGUGCAUCUACACUAAAUACUCGUGUGUGCCAGGUACUGUUUUAAACUACGUAUAUUUUUUUAAUUCUCAUAACUGUUCUCUGAGGUAUGUACUAAUACUAAAGCUUAUUGUUAAAGGAAGGCAGAAAAAUUAAGUAACUUGGCCUAAGUUUGCAUAACUGUGAUCUGGGAUCAAUAUUUGAACCCAUACAGGCUGAUUGCAGAGCCUGCACUCUUAAUUUGAGUGUGAUAUUUAUGUGCAGUACCUGGCUAUAAGUACCCACAAAACGUUUCAAAUUCUUUAUAAAAUUUGCUUAGUUAAAAAAGUACCAAUUGCAUAAUAUGGUUAUAAGUCUGGUAGAAGUUAGGCUUUUUACAAGACAUGCUGCUUACUGCACCAAGGAGGCAAGAAGGCUUUUUAGAGAGCCCAGAAUUUCCUUUCCUCAACUCCUGCUUCCAAGACAGUCAUUUUGCAUGAUAACCGUUUCCCCAAAAAACACAGACACAAAAUUUAAAGAACUGGAACAGAGGAAGCAGAGCUUAUCAUAGUAUAUAUGUUUAGUACCCUGUCACUUAGGUCCACCCCUCUUUCUUUGUGGAUUGUGGACAUUUUGUUUAACUGCUAAAUCAUGAGAAUAUAUGACUGCUGAGACUUUUCCAAGGAUUUUUUAAAAAACACAUUAGGCUUUGUGCAGAAGUAAAGAAAAAGUGCUGUGAGAACCCCAGGUAGGUAAUUUACUUUCUAUUGUACUCAUAGUUUGUUUGAAACCUCUUCACCUCUAUCCCUUAUUGUUUUAUACUCUGUAAAUCUGAUUUUACCUUUAAUAAACUUUUCUGAAGUGAGUGAGUUUUUUUUGUCUUAUUUCCCAUUAGAUUCUCUACCUUCUUUGUUCACUUUACGUAUGUUAUUGCCACUCCCUUCAAAACUGGUGGUUUAAUUAAAGUGACAGCAUCUUCUAUAUACCCAGUACUGUUGAGGAUUAAAAAAUACAUGUGUGCCGGAUGUGGUGGCACACACCUAUAAUCCUAGCACUUUGGGAGGCCUCAGGCAGGAGGAUUGCUUGAGCUAAGGAGUUCGAGACCAGCCUGGUCAACGUGGCAAAACCCCAUCUCUACUAAAAAGACAGAAAGUUAACUGGGCCUGAUGUUGUGCACCUCUCACCCCAGCUACUUGGGAGGCUGAGAGGUGGGAGGGUCACUUGAUCCUGGGAGGUCAACGCUGCAGUGAGCUGAGAACAAGCCACUGCACUCCAGCCUGGGCGACAAAGCGAGACCCUGUCUCAAUAGAAAAAAGAAAAAGUGCCAAGGCUUUGCUCCUAGUUCGGUGCAGGUUCCAACCAGUACUAAAACUUUGCAAAUUUUUGAGGGAAAAACCAGAAGUUGUAGAAUCAAUAUGAGCAUUUAAUUGUAUAGCAAGCAAUUGUGGCAGAAAAAAUUCACCCUAGUGAAAUCAAGUUAACUAUUCUGUGAAUGAGAUUAACCAGAGGAACAAUUUUGACCAUGUAUCUUUUAAAUCACUGUUUCUCAAACUUCAGUGUGUAUGGGAAUCACCAGGGAUCUUGUUAAAAUGCAGAUUUUGAUUUAGUAGGUCUGGGGUCAACCUGGAGAAUUUGAAUUUAUUUUCUCUUUUUUUAAAAGUAGUUUGAAAUAUAUUUCACAUACCAUAAAAUUCACUCUUUAAAACUGUCCAAUUAACUGUUUUUUAGCAUGUAGAGUUGUUCCACUAUCACCAUUCUAAUUUCAGGACAUUUUCACCGUGCUGAAAAAGAAACCUUGUACCUAUCACUCCCCAUCCCCCUCUCCCUUCCACCCUUUUCCCCUCCACCAGCAUCUGGCAACUGUUAAUCCACUUUCUGCCUUAAUUUAUAUCUUCUGGACAUUUCAUAACGUUUUAUAGACUUCUGUACCUGGCGUCUUUCACUUAGUGUUCAAGGUUCAUCGAUGUUGUAGCAUGUAUCAGUACUUCAUUCCUUUUUGUGGCUGAAUAAUACUCCAUUGUAUGGCUAUAGCACGUUUUCUGUGUCCCUGCAUCAGUUUCCA
rnacentral:lncRNA from 10 species